rnacentral:lncRNA from 1 species
CCUAAUUUUUGCCUAUAAAAAAUACUUACAGCGGGAAUUUUUUCUAAUCGUAUCUAAAUUGUGUAAUAUUAUACUGUCGUUGGAAAUUCCCGCGCCUGAACCAUUGUCUGGUGAUUCUGUAUUUUGUUGGAGUAGUGAUGAGAUAAAGAAGGGAAGAAGGAUCUGCUUGAACUAGGAUCCUCAGUAACUGUUCUUGGAGAUUCUAAUUUUGAAAGUAUCUGUGCUAUUAUUUGUUCUUAUAGCAUUAUUUUAUAUUAAUUAAUUAGAUAAUUUCUUAACUAAAUAUUUAACAAAAAUAAUUUACUAACUAAUUAAAAAGAUAAAUUAUUUUUUAUAAUUAAUUAAUUAAUGUAUUAAUUACCUAAUUAAUUAACUAAUAUUUAUAUAUAUUAAUUUACUAUUAUAUUCAUAGUUAAUAAAUUUAUUAAUUUAUUAAAUUAUUUUUAAUUAAUAUUUUAUGUUAAUUAAUUAUAUAUAAAAAAUUAUUAUUUUAAAAUUAUAAUUAUUCUUAUUCUCACUAUUCUAUUCUAGCUAUCCAAACGCUAUAUUUUUAAUAUUUCGAGAACCUAAUUUUCAUCCAAACGCAAAUUAAAUUAGUUUAAUUUCUAGUUAUAUCUAAAUUUAUAUCUAUCUUUGAAAUAAGCAAUUUUUAUAUAUACCGUAACCAAACAAAGCCUAAGGUUGCGUUUGGCACGGAGGAUAUCCUGGAACAAAAUGGGAUAUUCGCCAAUUUGUAGCCAAACACUAGCGGAACUUUGGGGAACGGGUUGUUCUGAUCAAAACAGGCUAUUCUGGGUUGUUCUGGAACAACUCGUUAAAAAUUGUUUCUAGAAAAACUCACAACAACUUUGUUCCUCUCUUUAUUUUAUUAGAUAAAUAGAUAAAUAAAUAAAUAUAUUAAUAUAAAUAUAUCUUUAUGAUAAUAUAUUAUACUUAAAUCUUAUUAUAUAAUAUAAAUUAAUUAAAUUUAAUAUAUUAUUUAUUUCAUUAAGUUUUAUUAUUUAUAUAUUAAUAUUCAAUUAUUUUUUAUAUUAAAUGUUAUAAAUAUAAAAUUAUUUUUUCAUAUUUUAUAUAUAUUUUAUCAUUUGUAUUGAAAUUUAUACUAUUAUUAAUUAAAAUUAUUAAGGUAUUGUUAGUAUUAUAUUUUAUUCAUUACAUAUAUUAUGAAUAAUUUAUAAAUAAUAAAUUAUUAUAUAUAAUAAAAUAAAUAUACUAUUUUAAAUUAAACUGUUACAUAAAAUAUUAUAUUAUAAAUUACAUUACGAAAUAAUUUUAUAAAUAAUUUUAUAUAAAAUAUACCAAUAUAAAUUAAUUAUUUUUAUUUUUAAAAAUAUAUUUAGAUCUUGUUCUUGACUUUUUAUCCAAACGCUAUUAAAGAAUAUUCUUUAGAAUAUCCACGAAUUAAUGCAUUCAAACACAAAUUUAUAAUUGUUCUAUUUUAUACCAGAAUAUGUUCUGUUCUCGAAAAUAAUAAAAUUUGUUCUCCAAAAUUUAGUUCUCCACCUAAACGCUGAACAGUCAAUAGAUCUGAAAAUCAGCUUAUGG